GUCCACGCCCUAACGAUGUCUACUAGUUGUUGGUGGAGUAAAUCCAUGAGUAACGCAGCUAACGCGUGAAGUAGACCGCCUGGGAGUACGGUCGCAAGAUUAAACUCAAAUGAAUUGACGGGCCCGCACAAGCGGUGGAUUAUGUGGAUUAAUUCGAUGCAACGCGAAAACCUUACCUGGCCUUGACAUGUAACGAACUUUCCAGAGAUGGAUUGGUGCUCGAAAGAGAACGUUAACACAGGUGCUGCAUGGCUGUCGU
rnacentral:rRNA from 1 species